GAGAUUCGCAGCCGCGCACUCCUCCUCCCAAGCGCGCUGCGAUAAGACUGGCAACACUCCUCCUCCCAGUUGCCAGUCAUCAUAAUGCGCCCGCCGGAUCCUCCCCCGGCGGGCGUUUUAU
rfam:Rhizobium leguminosarum bv. trifolii WSM2304, complete genome.